AUACGGAGGGUCCAAGCGUUAUCCGGAAUCAUUGGGUUUAAAGGGUUCGUAGGCGGGUCAAUAAGUCAGAGGUGAAAUCUUGCAGCUUAACUGUAAAAUUGCCUUUGAAACUGUUGACCUUGAAUUACUGUGAAGUGGUUAGAAUAUGUAGUGUAGCGGUGAAAUGCUUAGAGAUUACAUAGAAUACCGAUUGCGAAGGCAGAUCACUAACAGUAUAUUGACGCUGAUGAACGGAAGCGUGGGUAGCGAACGGGAUUAGAAACCCCUGUAGUCC
rnacentral:rRNA from 1 species